GGGUUGUGAGGUUAAGCGACUAAGCGUACACGGUGGAUGCCCUGGCAGUCAGAGGCGAUGAAGGACGUGCUAAUCUGCGAUAAGCGUCGGUAAGGUGAUAUGAACCGUUAUAACCGGCGAUUUCCGAAUGGGGAAACCCAGUGUGAUUCGUCACACUAUCAUUAACUGAAUCCAUAGGUUAAUGAGGCGAACCGGGGGAACUGAAACAUCUAAGUACCCCGAGGAAAAGAAAUCAACCGAGAUUCCCCCAGUAGCGGCGAGCGAACGGGGAGCAGCCCAGAGCCUGAAUCAGUGUGUGUGUUAGUGGAAGCGUCUGGAAAGGCGCGCGAUACAGGGUGACAGCCCCGUACACAAAAAUGCACAUACUGUGAGCUCGAUGAGUAGGGCGGGACACGUGGUAUCCUGUCUGAAUAUGGGGGGACCAUCCUCCAAGGCUAAAUACUCCUGACUGACCGAUAGUGAACCAGUACCGUGAGGGAAAGGCGAAAAGAACCCCGGCGAGGGGAGUGAAAAAGAACCUGAAACCGUGUACGUACAAGCAGUGGGAGCACGCUUAGGCGUGUGACUGCGUACCUUUUGUAUAAUGGGUCAGCGACUUAUAUUCUGUAGCAAGGUUAACCGAAUAGGGGAGCCGAAGGGAAACCGAGUCUUAACUGGGCGUUAAGUUGCAGGGUAUAGACCCGAAACCCGGUGAUCUAGCCAUGGGCAGGUUGAAGGUUGGGUAACACUAACUGGAGGACCGAACCGACUAAUGUUGAAAAAUUAGCGGAUGACUUGUGGCUGGGGGUGAAAGGCCAAUCAAACCGGGAGAUAGCUGGUUCUCCCCGAAAGCUAUUUAGGUAGCGCCUCGUGAAUUCAUCUCCGGGGGUAGAGCACUGUUUCGGCAAGGGGGUCAUCCCGACUUACCAACCCGAUGCAAACUACGAAUACCGGAGAAUGUUAUCACGGGAGACACACGGCGGGUGCUAACGUCCGUCGUGAAGAGGGAAACAACCCAGACCGCCAGCUAAGGUCCCAAAGUCAUGGUUAAGUGGGAAACGAUGUGGGAAGGCCCAGACAGCCAGGAUGUUGGCUUAGAAGCAGCCAUCAUUUAAAGAAAGCGUAAUAGCUCACUGGUCGAGUCGGCCUGCGCGGAAGAUGUAACGGGGCUAAACCAUGCACCGAAGCUGCGGCAGCGACGCUGAUGCGUUGUUGGGUAGGGGAGCGUUCUGUAAGCCUGCGAAGGUGUGCUGUGAGGCAUGCUGGAGGUAUCAGAAGUGCGAAUGCUGACAUAAGUAACGAUAAAGCGGGUGAAAAGCCCGCUCGCCGGAAGACCAAGGGUUCCUGUCCAACGUUAAUCGGGGCAGGGUGAGUCGACCCCUAAGGCGAGGCCGAAAGGCGUAGUCGAUGGGAAACAGGUUAAUAUUCCUGUACUUGGUGUUACUGCGAAGGGGGGACGGAGAAGGCUAUGUUGGCCGGGCGACGGUUGUCCCGGUUUAAGCGUGUAGGCUGGUUUUCCAGGCAAAUCCGGAAAAUCAAGGCUGAGGCGUGAUGACGAGGCACUACGGUGCUGAAGCAACAAAUGCCCUGCUUCCAGGAAAAGCCUCUAAGCAUCAGGUAACAUCAAAUCGUACCCCAAACCGACACAGGUGGUCAGGUAGAGAAUACCAAGGCGCUUGAGAGAACUCGGGUGAAGGAACUAGGCAAAAUGGUGCCGUAACUUCGGGAGAAGGCACGCUGAUAUGUAGGUGAAGUCCCUCGCGGAUGGAGCUGAAAUCAGUCGAAGAUACCAGCUGGCUGCAACUGUUUAUUAAAAACACAGCACUGUGCAAACACGAAAGUGGACGUAUACGGUGUGACGCCUGCCCGGUGCCGGAAGGUUAAUUGAUGGGGUUAGCGCAAGCGAAGCUCUUGAUCGAAGCCCCGGUAAACGGCGGCCGUAACUAUAACGGUCCUAAGGUAGCGAAAUUCCUUGUCGGGUAAGUUCCGACCUGCACGAAUGGCGUAAUGAUGGCCAGGCUGUCUCCACCCGAGACUCAGUGAAAUUGAACUCGCUGUGAAGAUGCAGUGUACCCGCGGCAAGACGGAAAGACCCCGUGAACCUUUACUAUAGCUUGACACUGAACAUUGAGCCUUGAUGUGUAGGAUAGGUGGGAGGCUUUGAAGUGUGGACGCCAGUCUGCAUGGAGCCGACCUUGAAAUACCACCCUUUAAUGUUUGAUGUUCUAACGUGGACCCGUAAUCCGGGUUGCGGACAGUGUCUGGUGGGUAGUUUGACUGGGGCGGUCUCCUCCUAAAGAGUAACGGAGGAGCACGAAGGUUGGCUAAUCCUGGUCGGACAUCAGGAGGUUAGUGCAAUGGCAUAAGCCAGCUUGACUGCGAGCGUGACGGCGCGAGCAGGUGCGAAAGCAGGUCAUAGUGAUCCGGUGGUUCUGAAUGGAAGGGCCAUCGCUCAACGGAUAAAAGGUACUCCGGGGAUAACAGGCUGAUACCGCCCAAGAGUUCAUAUCGACGGCGGUGUUUGGCACCUCGAUGUCGGCUCAUCACAUCCUGGGGCUGAAGUAGGUCCCAAGGGUAUGGCUGUUCGCCAUUUAAAGUGGUACGCGAGCUGGGUUUAGAACGUCGUGAGACAGUUCGGUCCCUAUCUGCCGUGGGCGCUGGAGAACUGAGGGGGGCUGCUCCUAGUACGAGAGGACCGGAGUGGACGCAUCACUGGUGUUCGGGUUGUCAUGCCAAUGGCACUGCCCGGUAGCUAAAUGCGGAAGAGAUAAGUGCUGAAAGCAUCUAAGCACGAAACUUGCCCCGAGAUGAGUUCUCCCUGAC
rnacentral:rRNA from 1 species